rnacentral:rRNA from 1 species
GCCCCCGCAUAUAUCGGAGGUGCAACCUGCCCAAUGAUUUCAAAUAAAGGAUAACCUUCUUAUAAGAAAUUAAAAGGACGCGGUAUACUGACCGUGAUAAUGUAGCAUAAUCAUUCGCCAUUUAAUUGAUGGAUUGUAUGAAUGGUCUAACGAAUAUUCCACUGUCUUUGCUAGAAGAUUUUUGAAAUUGAAAUAAUAGUUAAGAUGCUAUUUAAGCUUAUAAGACGAAAAGACCCUAUAGAGCUUAACCAUAACCUCACCCAGCUAAAUAAAAGAAUAUAACAAGGUGAGGUUGGUGGUUUGGUUGGGGCGACCGCCUUUUAAAAUAAACAAAGGCAAGCAAUAUUAAUCACACAUUUAUUGUAAAGUUAACAAACUUAACAAUUAUUAACGUAGGCGAUAAUGACCCGUUGAUUUGCUAUAACACAAUCAACGAUCAAUGAAUAAAAGCUACCUUAGGGAUAACAGGGUAAUCCUCUCCUAGAGAUCUUAUCGAAGAGUGGGUUUGCCACCUCUAUGUUGAAUUAAGAUGUCCACUUAAUGCAGAAGUUAAGAAGGGUAGGUCUGUUCGACCUUUAAAAUCUU